rnacentral:misc_RNA from 1 species
GAUGAAGAACGUAGCGAAAUGCGAUAAGUAAUGUGAAUUGCAGAAUUCAGUGAAUCAUCGAAUCUUUGAACGCACAUUGCGCCCGCGAGUAUUCUCGCGGGCAUGCCUGUCCGAGCGUCAUUUCAACCCUCAGGGCCCGCCUGCUUGCAGGCGCGGCGCUGGUGUUGGGGAUCGGCUACCCUGCCGUCCCCCAAAUACAGUGGCGGUCUCGCUGCAGCCUCCCCUGCGUAGUAGCAACACUCGCAUGCGGAGCGCGGCGCGGCCACGCCGUAAAACCCCCGACUUUCUGAACGUUGACCUCGGAUCAGGUAGGAAUACCCGCUGAACUUAAGCAUAUCAAAAGCGGAGGA